rnacentral:rRNA from 1 species
GGCCGAUCAGGUAGUUGGUAGGGUAAUGGCCUACCAAGCCUAUAACCGGUACGGGCCCUGAGAGGGGGAGCCCGGAGAUGGGAACUGAGACAAUGUCCCAGGCCCUAAGGGGUGCAGCAGGCGCGAAAACUCCACAAUGCACGAAAGUGUGAUGGGGUUAUCCCGAGUGCCAUCCGCUUAGGAUGGCUUUUCCCCGGUGUAAGGAGCCGGGGGAAUAAGAGGGGGGCAAGACUGGUGUCAGCCGCCGCGGUAAUACCAGCCCCUCGAGUUGUAGGGACGAUUAUUUAGCCUAAAGCGUUCGUAGCCGGCUUUGUAAGUCCCUCGUGAAAUCCGACGAUUCAAUCGUUGGGCGUGCAAGGGAUACUGUUAAGCUAGGGGGCGGGAGAAGUCGACGGUAGUCCCGGGGUAGGGGUGAAAUCUUAUAAUCCUGGGAGGACCACCAGUGGCGAAGGCGGUCGACUAGAACGCGCCUGACGGUGAUGGACGAAAGCUGGGGGAGCAAACCGGAUUAGAUACCCGGGUAGUCCCAGCUGUAAACGAUGCGGGCUAGGUGUUGGGGUAGCCACGAGCUACUCCGGUGCCGCAGGGAAGCCCUUAAGCCCGCCGCUUGGGGGAGUACGGUCGCAAGGCUGAAAC